GUGGAGCAGGAACAGAGGUGGACUGGAAUGUCACACGACGGGGCAGCUGGAAGUGCACAAAAACACUCUCCACACCAAGCUGCUGCUGCUGGGGGAUGGAGGGAUGGCGUCAGCGAUUCAAGACUGUUUUUCCUACCUGUUCAGCACUUCUUUCAGCGAUAUGAAGUUAAAUCCAGCUCACAGGUCCCUGAGUGAAGAGGAGCCACCCCUGAGGAGUUGUACCCAAGGAGACUCAGCCACAGCCAGACCUACUGCACAUUUUGAGAUCAUGGUCUUGGAGCCUGAUGUCGUGAUUGGGUGCUUUGGGAAGGUCCUCACUGUCCCCAGAAGGAAGAGAGGCACACAGCGCUCCCCAGCCGCUGGAAUCCAGGAAGAAUUGAGGUGCUCAAGACCCACCACCUCUUUGCCUGCAAACUCUAAGCUCACUGUCCUGCUCCCUUGCUCCCAGAAGUGGCACUGGAUGGAUCCCAUCCAGGUCAGCCCAGGCUGUCAUUUCCUCCCCUUCUGUACCUAAUCUCAGCGAGAUGAAGAGUUUACACCUG
rnacentral:lncRNA from 1 species